UGGGCUGUAGCCAAGCGGUAAGGCAGCGGGUUUUGAUCCCGUCAUGCGAAGGUUCGAAUCCUUCCAGCCCAG
rnacentral:tRNA from 1 species